rnacentral:rRNA from 1 species
ACGUACUGUGCGAACGUUAUUCGGAAUCACUUGGCUUAAAGGGUGCGUAGGCGGCAAUUCAAGUCAGGUGUGAAAUGCCUGAGCUCAACUGAGGCAUUGCGCUUGAAACUGAACUGCUUGAGUAUCCCAGGGGUGUGCGGAACUGCCAGUGGAGCGGUGAAAUGUGUUGAUAUUGGCAGGAACACCGGAGGCGAAAGCGGCACACUAGGGGAUAACUGACGCUGAGGCACGAAAGCCAAGGGAGCGAACGGGAUUAGAUACCCCGGUAGUCUUGGCCGUAAACGAUGAGUACUGGGCGGGAGGGGGUUUCCCUUUUCUGCCGUAGCGAAAGCGUUAAGUACUCCGCCUGGGGAGUAUGGUCGCAAGGCUG